rnacentral:rRNA from 1 species
UACGUAGGGCGCAAGCGUUAUCCGGAAUUAUUGGGCGUAAAGAGCUCGUAGGCGGUUUGUCGCGUCUGCUGUGAAAGACCGGGGCUCAACUCCGGUUCUGCAGUGGGUACGGGCAGACUAGAGUGCAGUAGGGGAGGCUGGAAUUCCUGGUGUAGCAGUGAAAUGCGUAGAUAUCAGGAGGAAUACCGAUGGCGAAGGCAGGUCUCUGGGCUGACACUGACGCUCAUGCACGAAAGCGUGGGGAGCAAACAGG